rnacentral:rRNA from 1 species
UACGUAGGGUGCAAGCGUUAAUCGGAAUUACUGGGCGUAAAGCGUGCGCAGGCGAUUUUGUAAGUCUGACGUGAAAUCCCCGGGCUCAACCUGGGAAUUGCGUUGGAGACUGCAAGGCUGGAGUCUGGCAGAGGGGGGUAGAAUUCCACGUGUAGCAGUGAAAUGCGUAGAGAUGUGGAGGAACACCGAUGGCGAAGGCAGCCCCCUGGGCUGAGAUUGACGCUCAGGCACGAAAGCGUGGGGAGCAAACAGG